AUAAGGGGGGAUAACUAAUCAAAAGGGAGGCUAAUACAUGAUACGCCCUACCGGGGAAAGCAUGGGAUCUUCGGACCUUGCGUUAAUGGAGCGGCUGAUAUCUGAUUAGCUAGUUGGUGAGGUAAAGGCUCACCAAGGCGACGAUCAGUAGCUGGUCUGAGAGGACGACCAGCCACACUGGAACUGAGACACGGUCCAGACUCCUACGGGAGGCAGCAGUGGGGAAUUUUGGACAAUGGGCGCAAGCCUGAUCCAGCCAUUCCGCGUGAGUGAAGAAGGCCUUCGGGUUGUAAAGCUCUUUCGCAAGGGAAGAAAACUUACUUUUUAAUAAAUAAUGAGGUUGACGGAACCUUGAUGAGAAGCACCGGCUAACUACGUGCCAGCGACCGCGGUAAUACAUACGGUGCCAGCAUUAAUCGGAAUUACUGGGCGUAAAGCGUGCGCAAGCGGUUUUGUGAUUCAUAUGUGAAAUCCCCGAGCUCAACUUGUCAACUGCUGUUGAAACUACGACACUAAAAUAUGUAAGAGGGGGGUAGAAUUCCACGUGUAUGAGUGAAUUGCGUAGAGAUGUGGAGGAAUACCAGUGGCCAACGCAGCCACCUGUGAUACUAUUGACCCUCAUGCACGAGAGCGUGGGGAGCAAACUAGAUUAGAUACCCUGGCAGUCCACGCCCUAUACUAUGUCUACUACAUGUUGGUGGAGUACAAUCCUUGAGUAACACAUCUAACGCCUGAAAAUACCGCCUGGGGAGUGCAAGUCGCAAGAUUAUAACUCAAUGCAUUGACGGGGGCCAUCACAAGC
rnacentral:rRNA from 1 species